AACUAUGAGGUGAAAUUAUCAAAGACAGAAUCUAGAACAGGUGCUCAUAGUAACCAAUCAGCUUCUCUCUUCAGUCUGUUGAGUUAAGCUUUGAAAA